rnacentral:rRNA from 1 species
GCGCAAUAAUACAUGCAAGUCGAACGAGAAUGUGUAGCAAUACACAUGUAAAGUGGCGAACGGGUGGGGAAUACAUAGGUAACCUACCCUCGAGUGGGGAAUAACUAGCCGAAAGGUUAGCUAAUACCGCGUACGCUCCCCGGACUACGGUUCGGGGAGGAAAGCGAUACCGUGGGUAUCGCGCUCUUGGAUGGGCUUAUGUCCUAUCAGCUUGUUGGUGAGGUAAUGGCUCACCAAGGCUUCGACGGGUAGCUGGUCUGAGAGGACGAUCAGCCACACUGGCACUGCGACACGGGCCAG